rnacentral:lncRNA from 1 species
GAAAAUUUUGCCAAAAGUGAGUCAUUUACUCAUUUUUUCCAAAAAGUCACACAUAUCUAAUCCAAUUUUGAGAUGGCAUGUAAAGAAAGUGUAAUUGAAUAGAAACCUGCAUCAGCUUGAUUCAAUAGAAUUUGGACAACUAAAUCACAAUUAUGUAUAAUUUCUUGAAGUUACUAAGGUGUUAUAUAUAGCAAAAUGGUUUCAAUGUUUUUUCUGAAUUUAAUGUUUAUUCAAAUUUUCACAGGUGAUUGAUACCAAUGGGGGGGGGGGUUCCCUAACUUCAACGCAUAUAGAAGCGUAGUUCCAUGCAUGUCAAUUGGCAUGCAUCAAAUAACUCCAUUGGGUGACAGACGCUCCGUAGCAAUGGUACCCACACUAAAAUGUGAAAGGUGCUCUUUGAAAAAUGGAUUUGAGUAUUGUAGUUUGAAAAAUGGAUUUGAGUGAUGACUUUAAAAUCAAACUUACCAAUUUACCAAAAUUUGGACAGAGUAACAACAAGAAAUGGAAGAAUAGAUACCACAGAAAUUAUAUUAAAACGCCAAUGAAAUUGGACAAAAUAACACCAAAGAAAUGAAUGCAAAGUCGAAGUAAGAGUUGAACUCUUUAUCUUUUAGUUGAUUUUGCCUUACAACGAUGCCUAUGGAUGACAACAAUCAACUUCCAAGAUAUGACGACUAACUUCUUGUGUUUGUAGCACACCAAAACACGGGAAUAGCGAAUCAAAAUAUGGCUUUUAUACUCUUUUUGAAUGAAAUGAAAACAAAUUUUUUAUGCAGAAUUUUGGUUAAGGAAAUAUGAAUGUUUAUGUUAUACUAUGAUUGCAUAUCAUUGGGAUGAAGUAAAGGACGUCCCAAGGGUCUAAUUUAUAGAGGAGGAGAGGUUGUGAGUACAAAGAGACGCUUUAAAAUUCAGCAACCUUUGCCAAGGGUCGCAGCCUUUGUUGUCACUUGCCCGUCGCCUGUGUGUUGCUCGAGCGUCAAUAGCAGAAAGGCUAUCACUUGAGCAAUAGUCUUAUCACCCGCUCACCGAUCGAGCGAUAGGCGAGCAAUGGAGUUGGGCAAAUGCCCAGCUAGUUUUCUUCUUUUCAUUCCAUCCUUGAACCAUAAUUUCUCAUUCAUCCGAAAUUAGUUUUGAGAUUUCAAAUAUACCAUAUCGAUCUACUAGACGAGUAGAACAAGUUAGUCUAUUUAUUUUCAUAAUUUGACCAUCGGAUAAAGUCCAAAUAUUUAGUCGAAAUUGACACGAAAGUCACUUUACCAUGGUUAUAUACUUAACCAAUUCCAACAAAAGGUUAGAUACAUGUAUAGAACAUUAUAUCUUUGUUAAGAUGAUUAUUUUAGAUUCAUCCGUUGCUAUACAUGAAAGACACUCGUCACUUUGAUCUUUUACAAAGUUCAUAAAUUCGCACGCUUGAUCUCUUGCACAACAGCAUAAGAACAGUAUAACCUACUUGCCUCAACUUCAACUGAUGAUGAUGAAAUAUAGUUGAGCCAAUUGUUUGGAAGUUUCAUAACUCACGGUCAGUAGAAUGAAAACAUAGAAUUAGACAUCUAGUCCAUCCUUUUGCAAUAAGAUUUGAAUUGAACAAAAGACAUAUCAAUUAUCCAUUGCGAGCGACAGAUGGCAUAAAUUUUCUACUUGCACCACCACUGUCUUAAUCUCUUAUUCUAAUGACACAUGCAUCAUGUUUGUGGAAAAGUUAAAAAGCUAAACGUAAGUAUUAAGUGUUAAAAAAGUUAACAAGUCUCUCAAUGGAAUGACAUUAGAGGUGUGUUACGCCCUCGAUUUCGAUUGUACGAGCCUCGAUACCGAAGUGUCAUCUCACCACCGAAGCCAAGAUCAACGCCUCGAUUGUACGAGCCUCGAUACCGAAGUGUCAUCUCCCAAGAUCAAGUAGACCACUCCGACCCUCCCGAAGCUUCUCCGAAGUGAUACAUCGAUUCCUACUACUGAUCUGCCGAAGUAUCCCACCCGAAGCUUCUCCGAAGUGAUACAUCGAUUCCUACUACUGAUCUGCCGAAGUAUCCCACCUCCGAGGUUGGGAUCAGGUGGACCCCGGUUAGAAGAUCCGCCGCCAAUUUAAGAUUUGUUCUGCAUAUAGGGUUUAAAUUAAUUUGACGUCCCCAUGAGACUAUUUGAUGUGACUUAUCAACUUUAUGUCAAUUCAACUCGGGGGAAACAAACUGUCCGCCCACUCUACAAGCGCGGCUGAUUGACGCCUAUGAGCAGACGCUUCAUACCGUCAGAUGUAUACACGUGUUCCACAUCCCACGGUUCAUACCACCUAUAAAUACCCAAAGUUUGGCAAGAGGCAAAGGUAAUAAAACACUCAAUACAUAGCAUUCCAUAACAAGUUUAUAUAUUCUCCUCCCCCUUUAUUGAUUGAUUUGUGUAACCCCAGGGCACUGUUCCGACCACCCAAACUUGACUUGACCGUCUGAGUGUAUACGGCCGCCACCACCCCCGUCGGUUCCGGCCGUGUGCGCCUGACCAUUUGUUCAUUUCGCAGGGAGGAAUACGUGGAGUAGCUAUAAGUUGGCCACGUGGAGGAGCCAUUUUUGGAGGUCAACAGUCUGGCGCCGUCUGUGGGAAGUCAUUCCCCAUUUGAAGUUUUACAUUCCCCAUUGGAGAAGACACCGAAAAAUCGACGACUGACCCUGAAAAGGGGGCAUUUUUGAAAAAGAACAAAAAUCGAAUUACAAUCCAAGUUCUUAUUACCCUUGAAAGAAGAGGUAAGAUGAGCUAUAGCCGUGAAGAGAAUCCCCUGAGAGAGGCCUCUGAAGAAGGGGUACUCCAUAACAAUGUUGCUCAUCAGAGACCGCAUCACUGGCGUCGACGAGGCGAAAGAACAGCCAUACUUACUGAAGGAAUGGCCCAGAUAGCAGCGGGUAUGAGAGACAUAGCAGCUCAGAAUAUGACGAUGCGGGAACUUCUCAUGCAAGCCCAGGGACACCAGAGGCCCCAAGGAUCUUAUCCGGUACAGGAAAUCCCUUUGUCUCAUUCUCGAGGCCGCAUGAGCCGGCACACAGAACGUCCUCUCGAAAGAGAGGGGAACACCGAAGCGACAUCUUAUAUGCAGGAGAGUCACCCAUCAGAACCACUCUUGGGGGACAACUUUCCUCAAGAAUACGAUGACCAGAGGUCAG